CAAUCAAACCGGGAGAUAGCUGGUUCUCCCCGAAAGCUAUUUAGGUAGCGCCUCGUGAAUUCAUCUCCGGGGGUAGAGCACUGUUUCGGCUAGGGGGCCAUCCCGGCUUACCAACCCGAUGCAAACUGCGAAUACCGGAGAAUGUUAUCACGGGAGACACACGGCGGGUGCUAACGUCCGUCGUGAAGAGGGAAACAACCCAGACCGCCAGCUAAGGUCCCAAAGUCAUGGUUAAGUGGGAAACGAUGUGGGAAGGCCCAGACAGCCAGGAUGUUGGCUUAGAAGCAGCCAUCAUUUAAAGAAAGCGUAAUAGCUCACUGGUCGAGUCGGCCUGCGCGGAAGAUGUAACGGGGCUAAACCAUGCACCGAAGCUGCGGCAGCGAACGUAUCACCCAAGACAACUUUACGGAGUUGACGAUUGACGGAGCGAAGCGACGUCAAAGCGUUCAUUAAAGUCGAGUUGGCUUAGGGAUACGUUCGUUGGGUAGGGGAGCGUUCUGUAAGCCUGUGAAGGUGUGUCGUGAGGCAUGCUGG
rnacentral:rRNA from 1 species